UCCCUGAUCACUCAGUGGAUAAAGAAUCUGCCUGCAAUGCAGGAGAUCCUGGUUCGAUUCCUGGGUAGGGAA
rnacentral:tRNA from 1 species